rnacentral:rRNA from 1 species
GACGAACCGUGCAAACGUUGUUCGGAAUCACUGGGCUUAAAGGGCGCGUAGGCGGGCAGCCAAGUCUGUGGUGAAAUCUUUCGGCUCAACCGGAAAAUUGCCGUGGAUACUGGCUGUCUUGAGGGAGGUAGGGGCCCGUGGAACUUCCGGUGGAGCGGUGAAAUGCGUUGAUAUCGGAAGGAACGCCGGUGGCGAAAGCGGCGGGCUGGAUCUCUUCUGACGCUGAGGCGCGAAAGCUAGGGGAGCAAACGGG